GCUCUCUGUCCUUCCCCACAGGGCUGAUGGCGGCCGUGACGUUGGACGAGUCCGGGGGCGGCCUCCAGACGCCCGGAGGAACGCUCAGCCUCGUCUGCAAGGGCUCCGGGUUCACCUUCAGCAGCUUCAACAUGUUCUGGGUGCGACAGGCUCCAGGCAAGGGGCUGGAAUACGUCGCAGCUAUUAGCAAUGAUGGUAGUUGGACAGGCUACGGGGCGGCGGUGAAGGGCCGUGCCACCAUCUCGAGGGACAACGGGCAGAGCACAGUGAGGCUGCAGCUGAACAACCUCAGGGCUGAGGACACCGGCACCUACUACUGCACCAGAGCUCCUUGUAGUGCUACUUGGAGUUGUGGUACUUGGAGUUAUGCUUAUUUUAUUGACGUCGCUCCGGGAUUGAGUGGUGUCACCCGCAGCCCAGAGGGAGAGAUCAGAGCCCAAGUGAUGUCGCCUGGGCUGGGAUCUCUCAGUCUACCAUGA